UCGCAGCACGCCGUCGCGGAACGCGGUGAGCCGCGUCCGGAGCGCCUCCGGGGUGUCCUCCACGGCGGGCGGCGGUUCGGCCACCGCCACUGCGGU
rnacentral:tRNA from 1 species